rnacentral:rRNA from 1 species
UACGUAGGGUGCAAGCGUUGUCCGGAAUUAUUGGGCGUAAAGAGCUCGUAGGCGGUUCGUCGCGUCGGGAGUGAAAACUCAGGGCUUAACCCUGAGCCUGCUUCCGAUACGGGCAGACUAGAGGUAUGCAGGGGAGAACGGAAUUCCUGGUGUAGCGGUGAAAUGCGCAGAUAUCAGGAGGAACACCGGUGGCGAAGGCGGUUCUCUGGGCAUUACCUGACGCUGAGGAGCGAAAGUGUGGGGAGCGAACAGG